GGUACGCUAAGGGUCGCACUUGGAACUAGACCCGCCCUAUGUUCCUACGAGCACCAUGUUAUUUUGGACAAUGGGCACACAGCCUUGACGACGCCACCCGCCGCAUAGAAGGAUUGAUUUUCUUCGAUAUAUAACUCCUGUUGAUCGGGACGAAAAUGUUUCACUUAACUCGUCAAAGACUGACGUACCUGUUGAGGAGCACGACUACUCUGUGCCAGCAGCCGCGGUAAUACAGAGGUGGCAAGCGUGUUCGAAUUACUGGGCGUAAAGGGCGCGUAGGCGGCGUUCUAAGUCGGACGUGAAAGCCCCAGGCUUAACCUGGGAACUGCGUCCGAUACUGGAAGGCUUGGAUUCGGGAGAGGGAUGUGGAAUUCAGGUGUAGCGGUGAAAUGCGUAGAUAUCUGGAGGAACACCGGUGGCGAAGGCGGCAUCCUGGACCGAGAUCGACGCUGAGGCGCGAAAGCUAGGGGAGCAAACGGGAUUAGAUACCCCGGUAGUCCUAGCCCUAAACGAUGAGUGCUUGGUGUGGCGGGUAUCGAUCCCUGCCGUGCCGAAGCUAACGCAUUAAGCACUCCGCCUGGGGAGUACGGUCGCAAGGCUGAAACUCAAAGGAAUUGACGGGGGCCCGCACAAGCGGUGGAGCAUGUGGUUCAAUUCGACGCAACGCGAAGAACCUUACCUGGGC
rnacentral:rRNA from 1 species